ensembl:lncRNA
AUGGGAGAGAACCCUUCCCACCUAAUGCGUGUGUCUCCUUGUUGCUCCCUUUCCCAAAGCUGCAGUACCCGGCAAAGUCCUCAGGUGACUUGUGAGGCUCGUAUCCCUGCAACAGAGACUACUCCAGCUGCAGGAGGUCACCACUCCCGAAGACAUCCCCAGGAAAACUGUUCUUUCAGACGGGAACACCUCGUGCCUGAUUCCUCUUACAAUAAAGGAGUUCCACAAGAUGCUCCUAACUCUUGGGGAGAUCCCCAAGGUGACACUUUAGCCGUGACCAGUUUUGUGGGCCCUGAACCCCGGGAUGUACUUGUCUGUCCUGCUCGUUGUUCCCAGAGGCUGAGGAGGCCCCGGCCAGCAGGAGGGGCUGGGGAGCCCAGAGGAAGCAUAGAUGGUCCCAAAGAAGAGCAAGGAGGCAGCCGUGGCAUCACCAUAGCAACGGAUGGUGGUGGUGCUGCUGGGAAAGCAGGUGAGGAGGUGGCGAAAGUGCAGAGGCUCAGGGAUGGGAAUAAACUGCCUGCUCCCCCCCCCAUUUUAAAUUUUGCACCGAGUCAUGAGCUUCAAAUGGAUUCUGUAUGUUUUAAGUAACAUGGCUUAAUGUGUAGUUCAUUGGAAUCAUUGAUUUUGUACAGAUCCAAGUUGCUUCAAUUUUUUUUUUAAUUAAAGCAAUUACAGAAUCUUCCAAAUGGUUCAUAAUCACUGAGAAGUACCCCCAACCCUUUUUAAAGAAAAUGAAAAAGCCAGUGAUGCACUGCAAUUUUUUCCAAAUCAAAAUCAACCUGUCUUAGCAUCUUCCCCUUCCCCACUUCACAUAUCUACUGAAAGGAACUGUGGUGGGUUUUUUUGGGGGGGGAAUAGGUUGCAAUUUAAAACAGAACAACUUUGUUAUAAAGUAGCUGCCACUUCAGAAAAAGUCUCGCUCCUUGUUCUUUUCAGUCUAACUGUAGAUAUAAGAAGAAUUACAAAAGAGGGUUUGUCCCAAAAUUUUCACUCUGGCAACAACAGUUGUUUGAUCGUGCUGGUGGUGGGGAUUCAAGGAUAGCAGAGACGUGUCACUGUCACCCUCAUCACAGUUUCCAGAAUUCUUUGAGAAAAGUAGCCUGGAUCAAUGCUUUGUCUUUCGCCCCCAAUGAGGGCAGAGUUUUCCCCUCUUCUGUAAUUCUUGGUGGGGGGAAAAGUAAGNNNNNNNNNNNNNNNNNNNNNNNNNNNNNNNNNNNNNNNNNNNNNNNNNNNNNNNCACACACACACACACACACACACCCUGCUGCCUUGUCUUUGGGGAAGUAGAACAGGAAGUGCCUCAGCCAUAGUUUCCCUAUUGAGAAUGCAAUAACCAGAAUUUCUGCCAGUGUUUACAAACCAAGCAACUUGUCCCUCCUGGCUCUGAACAGGUUAAACAUCAGCUACUCCAUCCCCUCCCCUGAAAGUCCUUGGCUUAUCAGGCUAAGGGAAAAAAUUCCUAAGGGGGGACAGAGAGGAAACAAGAGCCAGAGUAGCAAGAAUUGCUGGAAAAGCAGGAGCAGGCUUUGCAGGGAGUCCGUCCCUCUUUACCUUG